rnacentral:rRNA from 1 species
GACCGAAACCGCUGGCCGGCGUGCCUUAAUACCAUGCCAAGUCCGAGCCGGACUAAAUGGGAGCUUGCUCCCAGAGGUUAGCCGGCGGACGGGUGAGUAACACGUGGGCAACCUGCCCUGUAGACUGGGAUAACACCGAGAAAUCGGUGCUAAUACCGGAUAACUUCCGAGGUCACCUGACCUUGGAUUAAAAGAUGGCUCCGGCUAUCACUACAGGAUGGGCCCGCGGCGCAUUAGCUAGUUGGUGAGGUAACGGCUCACCAAGGCGACGAUGCGUAGCCGACCUGAGAGGGUGAUCGGCCACACUGGGACUGAGACACGGCCCAGACUCCUACGGGAGGCAGCAGUAGGGAAUCUUCCGCAAUGGACGAAAGUCUGACGGAGCAACGCCGCGGUGAGUGAUGAAGGAUUUCGGUUCGUAAAGCUCUGUUGUUAGGGAAGAACAAGUGCCGUUCAAAUAGGGCGGCACCUUGACGGUACCUAACCAGAAAGCCACGGCUAACUACGUGCCAGCAGCCGCGGUAAUACGUAGGUGGCAAGCGUUGUCCGGAAUUAUUGGGCGUAAAGCGCGCGCAGGCGGUCUUUUAAGUCUGAUGUGAAAGCCCACGGCUCAACCGUGGAGGGUCAUUGGAAACUGGGAGACUUGAGUACAGAAGAGGAGAGUGGAAUUCCACGUGUAGCGGUGAAAUGCGUAGAUAUGUGGAGGAACACCAGUGGCGAAGGCGACUCUCUGGUCUGUAACUGACGCUGAGGCGCGAAAGCGUGGGGAGCAAACAGGAUUAGAUACCCUGGUAGUCCACGCCGUAAACGAUGAGUGCUAGUGUUAGGGGUUUCGAUGCCCUUAGUGCCGAAGUUAACACAUUAAGCACUCCGCCUGGGGAGUACGACCGCAAGGUUGAAACUCAAAGGAAUUGACGG